rnacentral:rRNA from 1 species
AGAUCUGCCCCUAGUACGAGAGGACCGGGGUGGACGGACCUCUGGUGGAGCGGUUGUCGACCAACGGCACCGCCGCCUAGCUACGUCCGGCACGGAUAACCGCUGAAAGCAUCUAAGUGGGAAGCCGUCUCCAAGAUGAGUCUUCUCUUUGGUAAGGGCCCAGGUAGACUACCUGGUCGAUAGGGCGCAGCUGCAAGCACGGCAACGUGUUCAGGCGAGCGCUACUAAUAGCCCGAGCUCUUCUUCACAA